AUUGAACGCUGGCGGCAGGCCUAAAACAUGCAAGUCGAGCGGAGCGGCGGACGGGUGAGUACUGCCUAGGAAUCUGCCUGGUAGUGGGGGAUAACGUCCGGAAACGGGCGCUAAUACCGCAUACUAGCAGAUGAGCCUAGGUUGGAUGAGCUAGUUGGUGGGGUAACGGCCUACCAAGGCGACGAUCCGUAACUGGUCUGAGAGGAUGAUCAGUCACACUGGAACUGAGACACGGUCCAGACUCCUACGGGAGGCAGCAGUAGGGAAUAUUGGACAAUGGGCGAAAGCCUGAUCGAGCCAUGCCGCGUGUGUGAAGAAGGUCUUCGGAUUGUAAAGCUCUUUAAGUAGGGAAGCGUUACCAACAGAAUAAGCACCGGCUAACUUCGUGCCAGCAGCCGCGGUAAUUC
rnacentral:rRNA from 1 species